rnacentral:rRNA from 1 species
GACGAACGCUGGCGGCGUGCUUAACACAUGCAAGUCGAACGCUGAAGCUUGGUGCUUGCACUGGGUGGAUGAGUGGCGAACGGGUGAGUAAUACGUGAGUAACCUGCCCUUGACUCUGGGAUAAGCCUGGGAAACUGGUUCUAAUACUGGAUACGACAUGUCACCGCAUGGUGGUGUGUGGAAAGGGUUUUACUGGUUUUGGAUGGGCUCACGGCCUAUCAGCUUGUUGGUGGGGUAAUGGCUCACCAAGGCGACGACGGGUAGCCGGCCUGAGAGGGUGACCGGCCACACUGGGACUGAGACACGGCCCAGACUCCUACGGGAGGCAGCAGUGGGGAAUAUUGCACAAUGGGCGGAAGCCUGAUGCAGCGACGCCGCGUGAGGGAUGACGGCCUUCGGGUUGUAAACCUCUUUCAGCACGGAAGAAGCGAAAGUGACGGUACGUGCAGAAGAAGCGCCGGCUAACUACGUG